CUGCUCGUCAUUUGUAAGCCGUGUGUUGGUGGGAGAACGUCGUGUUGUUGUUUGUGCCGAACGCGUCGCGCCGCUUGUUGUGAUAUAUACAACGUGACAGCCGCUGCUUUUCACCAUGAAUGAAGAGAACCUUCAUCUCGCCCAGGCUAUGGUUGGUAUGGAUUUAGAAGACCGGCCACAGUCUCCAAAGAAAACUGUUGUAGGAAGAGUGCAAGAGAAGCUUCAAGGUUUCAGCCUCAAGGUGGAGCAGUGUGUGAAGACAAGCGUCGACAGAAGG